AAGGAUCAUUAUCGAAAUCACGAGGGGGGAGUGCUCCGGUUGUCGCUGGCAUUUCGCUCUGCAUGUGCACGCUUGGACGUGCUUUCCCCGAUUUCUCCACACACACCUGUGAACUCGCGUGGAACGGGAAGGAGAGCCUCUCUCCGGAACUUCCAUCUUUCAUUCCACACACUCUUUCGUGACCGAGAUUGCUAUUUGAUAACAAUGAAACAACUUUCAACAACGGAUCUCUUGGCUCUC
rnacentral:misc_RNA from 1 species